UCAGCGUGGCGCACGGGUGCGUAACGCGUGGGAAUGUACACCUAGGUGCGGAAUAACGUAGAGAAAUUUACGCUAAUACCGCAUAAUGACUCCGGUCCAAAGAUUUAUCGCCUAGGGAUCAGCCCGCGUUAGAUUAGUUUGUUGGUGAGGUAACGGCUCACCAAGACUACGAUCUAUAGGGGGUCUUAGAGGAUGAUCCCCCACACUGGUACUGAGACACGGACCAGACUCCUACGGGAGGCAGCAGUGAGGAAUAUUGGACAAUGGGCGAAAGCCUGAUCCAGCCAUGCCGCGUGAGUGAAGACGGCCCUAGGGUUGUAAAGCUCUUUCAAACGUGAAGAUAAUGACGGUAGCGUUAGAAGAAGCUCCGGCUAAAUUCGUGCCAGCAGCCGCGGUAAUACGAAUGGAGCAAGCGUUGUUCGGAAUAACUGGGCUUAAAGCGUAUGUAGGCGGAUUAUCAAGUCAGGAGUGAAAUCCCGGGGCUCAACCUCGGAACUGCUCUUGAAACUGGUAGUCUAGAAUACUGGAGAGGUUGGGAGAAUUCCUAGUGUAGAGGUGAAAUUCGCAGAUAUUAGGAGGAAUACCAGUGGCGUAGGCGCCCAACUGGACAGUUAUUGACGCUCAGAUACGAAAGCGUGGGGAGCAAACAGGAUUAGAUACCCUGGUAGUCCACGCCGUAAACGAUGUGUGCUAGUUGUCGGGAGUUCAGCUUUCGGUGACGGAGCGAAAGUUUUAAGCACACCGCCUGGGGAGUACGGCCGCAAGGUUAAAACUCAAAGGAAUUGACGGGGACCCGCACAAGCGGUGGAGCAUGUUGUUUAAUUCGAAGCAACGCGAAGAACCUUACCUACACUUAACUAUCCUCUUGGGGCUUUCAGAGAUGAUAG
rnacentral:rRNA from 1 species